rnacentral:rRNA from 1 species
AAAACUUUCAACAAUGGAUCUCUUGGCUCUGGCAUCGAUGAAGAACGCAGCGAAAUGCGAUAAGUAGUGUGAAUUGCAGAAUUCAGCGAAUCAUCGAAUCUUUGAACGCACAUUGCGCCCUUCGGGUUAUUCCUUAGGGCAUGCCUGUUCGAGCGUCAUUU